CCUACGGGGUGUCAGCAGUGGGGAAUAUUGGACAAUGGGCGAAAGCCUGAUCCAGCCAUGCCGCGUGUGUGAAGAAGGCCUUCGGGUUGUAAAGCACUUUCAGUGGGGAAGAAAGCCUUGGGGCUAAUACCCUCGAGGAAGGACAUCACCCACAGAAGAAGCACCGGCUAACUCCGUGCCAGCAGCCGCGGUAAUACGGAGGGUGCGAGCGUUAAUCGGAAUUACUGGGCGUAAAGCGCGCGUAGGCGGUCUGAUAAGCCGGUUGUGAAAGCCCCGGGCUCAACCUGGGAACGGCAUCCGGAACUGUCAGGCUAGAGUGCAGGAGAGGAAGGUAGAAUUCCCGGUGUAGCGGUGAAAUGCGUAGAGAUCGGGAGGAAUACCAGUGGCGAAGGCGGCCUUCUGGACUGACACUGACGCUGAGGUGCGAAAGCGUGGGUAGCAAACAGGAUUAGAUACCCGAGUAGUC
rnacentral:rRNA from 1 species